GAGGUGGAAAAGGAGAACUUGGGCUUGGGUUGUUGCAGGAAGAAAGAGAGAGAGAGAGAGAGAGCACAAAGAGAUAAGACUUGGGUGAAGAGCCUCAUGCUAAUUCCCCCUAAUAAUCCCUAAAAGAGUUUUCACGCUUUUCCGUCCACUCUGCCUGCUCCGCCCUCUCAACCGUGGACAAAGUCAUCAAACCACUCUGUGCCACCUAACCAGAUCGUGCAUCUUAAGAGCCGCUAUGGUUCAGUUUGGAAAUGACAAGAGAGAGAAACGGGGCCAGCCGGCGCAACUCAAGAAACACUCCAGAGAAUGUUCAUCUCCAGAAGAAUAGAGGCUGAAGGAAAAUCAGAUGAUGGUUGGAUUUGGAGAAAAAAAAUCCAGCUACUGGUUAAGAUGAAACUGUUCUGGACCCAAGGCUCAGUCUGGAGCCUCUGGUCCAGGAUUUUGGAGGGCAAGAAAAGAAAAUUUGGUGGGGAGGAGGAGGGAUUUUUCCUGGUGCCAAAUUCUUGAAAAACUUAGCCUCAUGUAAAGCAGCCUCUCCUCCUCAAAGGACAACGAUGGCUCUCCCUCCUUGGGUCUUCAAGGCCCAAGGGGUGAGGAGGGAGAGUGUAGCUUCAGGCCAAACUCUCCUAUUUGAUCCAUCAUCUCCCAUCCUGGCUACUCUGGUGUUUGUGGUGGGGUCGGGGGGAGCCGGGUUCCCAAAGAAACUGUGCAGGGGCAAAGAAGAGGUUCUCUUCUUGCAGAAUCUCUUGAAAAGCACGGUCCCUCUGUCCUAGAAAUCUCCCCAGUUGGUCUUUAUGGCCGCACUUCUGGACCCAGAGAUUAGCCUGACAGACCAUCUGGGAUAUCUCUCUCCUGAGCCUUCUGGUUUUCAGAGAGGGUAGACCUGCUCCAUUUUGACCAUGAAGGCUCAUUUUCCAUGUGAAUCAAUUAUCCAGUUUGACAGGGAAAUACCUUUCAAAAUUCUAUAGUGUUUCAUCAGGAUGACAGUUUCUAACCCGUAUGACGAAAGCACAUCGGAGAGAACUCCUUGACCUUCUCUAGAUCCUGGUUGACCAACUCCAUGGUCAAUGGAAUGUUAUUUUUCUCACAUUCAAGUGAUAUGAAACAACUAAGAGAUUUGCUCAAUCCAUCCCACCAGCAUUUUAAAAGUCAAUAAAAUAGCUAUAUAAAAUAAAAAUAAAUGCAAAGCGCAACUCCCGGCAGGAGAAUAAAAUACAAUAAAAUAGUUUAAAAUUAAAGUAAAUAUUAAAAUCACUGACAUAUAAAAUAAUUGACAUAUAAAUACGCGGCACACUCAUUCCAUUGAACGUGGACGUCUGGGAUAUCUUCGGAUUUGCCCAAAAAAAGAAAAAUAUUCCACGCAUUCGAAGUCCCCAAACGGCGAGGUUUAUCUCUGCCUUUUCUAACGUGAUUAGGUGAAUGGCUUUAUGAACUCAUACUGACUGUAACACUAUAGACCCACCCCAAAACGUCAAGGCACAAUUAAUUCAGUGCAAUUUCCAAUCAACUGGACUUCAUAUGCUUGGUUUAAGAAUGUCUGACACAUUGAGUGUUUUGUUCUCAAGGUUUUGAGUCAGUACAGAUUCGGGAGCUGCUAUUCUGGACUGGAUCUUGCCUGGAUGAGGUAGGUCCCGGUAGGAGCAGAGGUAAGUGCCAUCCGGAUGAUAGAAAAAUAUAUCAGUCCGUCCCCGUGAAGGGUGGGUGGAAGGGCCAUCCUUCCUCUUGGUGGCUCUGGGAGCUGGCAAGUGUUGCCUCAGUGAAUGUCGGCGUCUUUACCCCUGUGUUAACUUUUCCGCUUCAGAAUCUGCCGGUAGGAUAUUUGUUCCCCACACACAGGGAGGAGAGGAUCAGUGUUCCUAGAUGCGGGGGAAACGACGAGGUGAAGGUGCCGCGGACAAAGAAGGACAAUUCACGGGAUCGUGGCCGCCGUCCCUGCUGCCCCUCAUUGCAGGGCGGUGGGGGGAAGCAGGGACAUCUCGGUGAGAGGGUCCCGGGGGAAGAGGGAGGCGACGGACCGGGCCUGAGGAGGUGGGACGGAGGGUGGAAGCCCACUGCGGCACUGCCACUAGGUGCCCCCUGAUCUCCUCAGUGGGAGACCCACUGCAGGGGGGACAGUGGCAGUGCAGGGGAGGGUGGGGCAGGGAGGAGGGUGUUGCUGGGGACCCCUUCUCUAUCAUUUCCUCUAUUCACGUCCGCUCCCUUUUCCCCGGCCACUUCCCUUUCUCCUCCUUCCCUUUCUCCCCUAAAAUAAAAGUUAAAAAGUUUGUUUCCACAGCACCCCAGCAUUCGAGGACCACAGUCCAUUGGGGGACCCCAGAUCUCCAGCCGAGCCGGCUCUAUCCUCUUCCUGGGCUUUCAGCGGCCCGAAGGACUCAGGGCUGCAUCCUGAGGACCCCAGCCCUCUGGCCCAGCCAGCUCUGCACUUCCUCCUGGACUCUGCACCGACCGCCUUGGGAAAACGAUCCUGAAGCACUCCAGACUGCAUCCUGUGGACCCCAGCCCUCCAGCCCAGCCAGCUCUGACUUCCCCCUGGACUCCCAACUGCCUGCCCACCCCC